CGCCGGUAGAUAGAGUUUGAUCGUGCCUCAGUGAAGGGUAGCUUGCUACCUGUACCUAUCGGCGGACGGGUGAGUAAUGCUUAGGAAUCUGCCUAUUAGUGGGGGACAACAUUCCGAAAGGAAUGCUAAUACCGCAUACGCCCUACGGGGGAAAGCAGGGGAUCUUCGGACCUUGCGCUAAUAGAUGAGCCUAAGUCAGAUUAGCUAGUUGGUGGGGUAAAGGCCUACCAAGGCGACGAUCUGUAGCGGGUCUGAGAGGAUGAUCCGCCACACUGGGACUGAAACACGGCCCAGACUCCUACGGGAGGCAGCAGUGGGGAAUAUUGGACAAUGGGCGAAAGCCUGAUCCAGCCAUGCCGCGUGUGUGAAGAAGGCCUUUUGGUUGUAAAGCACUUUAAGCGAGGAGGAGGCUACUGGGAUUAAUACUCUUGGAUAGUGGACGUUACUCGCAGAAUAAGCACCGGCUAACUCUGUGCCAGCAGCCGCGGUAAUACAGAGGGUGCGAGCGUUAAUCGGAUUUACUGGGCGUAAAGCGUGCGUACGCGGCUUUUUAAGUCGGAUGUGAAAUCCCUGAGCUUAACUUACGAAUUGCAUUCGAUACUGGGAAGCUAUACUAUGGGAGAGGAUGGUAGAAUUCCAGGUGUAACGCCCACAAGCACAUAGAUCUCGUCGAAUACGUU
rnacentral:rRNA from 1 species